GACGAACGCUGGCGGCGUGCUUAACACAUGCAAGUCGAGCGGUAAGGCCCUUUCGGGGGUACACGAGGCGGCGAACGGGUGAGUAACACGUGGGUGACCUGCCUCAGCUCUGGGAUAAGCCUGGGAAACCGGGUCGUAAUAACUGGAUAUGACUCCAUGACGCAUGUUGGUGGGGUGGAAAGCCUUAGUGUCGGCUGGAGGAGUGGGCCCGCGGCCUAUCAGUCUU
rnacentral:rRNA from 1 species